UUAUGGUUAAUAUUCCAUGACCCGCACGUCUGCGAUGGAGGGACGGGGUUUAGUAACGAGAGCGACCUAUUGGAUUGUCGUUUUUGCUGUAAGGGCGUGCUUUAGGAAAAUCCGGAGCAUAUAACCCAAGCAGAGAAGAAAAGUGUGUUUUCGGACAUGCUGAUUCUCGUGAGCAGACCUUCAAGAAAAACUUCUAAGCUCUAGAACGUGCGGACCGUACCGCAAACCGAAACAGGUGUUCAGCUCGAGUAGAGUAAGGCGAACGAGUGAGAAAUCUCCAAGGAACUCGGCAAAAAAGCAGCCGUAACUUCGGAAUAAGGCUUGCCCCAGCAAUGGGGCCGCAGCUAAAGUAUCUCUGGCAACUGUUUAUCAAAAACACAGCUCCCUGCGAACUCGUAAGAGGAUGUAUAGGGGGUGACACUUGACCAAUGCCAGAAGGUCAAAUAUCGGCGGUGAAUGGAUCUUCGGAUUUAUUUGCUGACUGAUAUAAGCCCUGGUGAAUGUCGGCCGUAACUAUAACGGUCCUAAGGUAGCGAAAUUCCUUGUCGGGUAAGUUCCGACGCGCACGAAUAGUGUAAUGACUGGAGAACUGUCUCGGAGAUCCGCUCGGUGAAAAUACAAUACCGGUGAAGAUGCCGGUUACCUGCAGUUAGACGAAAAGACCCCAGGAGCUUUACUGCAACUUGAUAUUGAGAAUACGUUUUAUCUGCGUAGCAUAGUGGUGAGAGGUUAUGUGCACGGUCUCGGCUGUGUAAUACUCGUCAGUGAAAUACCCAUCUGAUAAAAUGUGUUUUCUAACCCUCGCGGCAAAAACGCGAAGAGACAGUAUCUGGCGGGCAGUUUUAGUGGGGCGCUAUCCUCCUAAAAAGUAACGGAGGAGUUUAUAAAGGUCAGCUAGGCGCGAAUGGAAACCGUGCCGAUAGUGUAAUGGCACAAGCUGGCUUAACUGUGAGGCGUACAUGCCGAACAGAUGCGAAAGCAGAACAUAGUGAACCGACCAUUCGCAUUAGACGCGGUGGAAGAUUAUCGGAUAAAAGCUACCCUGGCGAUAACAGGCUAGUUCCGCCUAAGCGUCCAUAGCGACGGCGGAGUUCGGCACCUCGAUGUCGGCUCAUCAUAUCCUGGGGGUGAAGAAGCUCCCAAGGGUUUGGCUGUUCGCCAAUUAAAAUGAUACGCGAGCUGGGUUCAGACCGUCGUGAGACAGGUUGGUCUCCUAUCUACUGCAGGCGUUGAUUCUUGAAAAGGUUUGCUCCUAGUACGAGAGGACCGGAGUGAACGAACCUCUGGUGUGAGAGCUGUUCCUGCCAAGGGCACUGCUCUGUAGCUAAGUUCGGUUUGGAUAACCUCUGAAAGCAUCUAAGAGGGAAGCCAGCUUUAAGAUGAGGAAUCGUUUGAGGGCCGUGGGAGAUGACCACGUUGAUAGGCACUAGGUGUAAGCACAGUAAUGUGUUCAGCCGAGGUGUACUAAUUCCCCGAUUCU
rnacentral:rRNA from 1 species